rnacentral:rRNA from 1 species
AACGAACGCUGGCGGCAUGCCUAACACAUGCAAGUCGAACGAGACCUUCGGGUCUAGUGACGCACGGGUGCGUAACGCGUGGGAACCUGCCCUUAGGUUCGGAAUAACUCCCCGAAAGGGGUGCUAAUACCGGAUAAUGCCUUCGGACCAAAGAUUUAUCGCCUUUGGAUGGGCCCGCGUUGGAUUAGCUAGUUGGUAGGGUAAAAGCCUACCAAGGCGACGAUCCAUAGCUGGUCUGAGAGGAUGAUCAGCCACACUGGGACUGAGACACGGCCCAGACUCCUACGGGAGGCAGCAGUGGGGAAUAUUGGACAAUGGGCGAAAGCCUGAUCCAGCAAUGCCGCGUGAGUGAUGAAGGCCUUAGGGUUGUAAAGCUCUUUUACCCGGGAUGAUAAUGACAGUACCGGGAGAAUAAGCUCCGGCUAACUCCGUG